rnacentral:rRNA from 1 species
ACAGGUCUGUGAUGCCCUUAGAUGUUCUGGGCCGCACGCGCGCUACACUGACAGAGCCAACGAGUUCUUCACCUUGGCCGAAAGUCUUGGGUAAUCUUGUUAAACUCUGUCGUGCUGGGGAUAAAGCAUUGCAAUUAUUGCUUUUCAACGAGGAAUGCCUAGUAAGCGCGUGUCAUCAGCAUGCGUUGAUUACGUCCCUGACCUUUGUACACACCGCCCGUCGCUACUACCGAUUGAAUGGCUCAGUGAGGCCUUCGGACUGGCUCGGGGAGGUUGGCAACGACCACCCCAAGCCGGAAAGUUCGUCAAACUCGGUCAUUUAGAGGAAGUAAAAGUCGUAACAAGGUCUCCGUAGGUGAACCUGCGGAGGGAUCAUUA